AGACAGCAGGAGGAAGGUACACUGGCACGCGAGCUACCCAGCCAGCAGUGGCUGAAGGAGGAGUGAGUUGCUCAUGUUGAAUUUGUGGUAAUGUCUGAAAUGUGUUCUGGGGCUUUUUUGAAACAGGAGCACCUACUGUCCCUGCUGCACUUGAACACUUAGAAAAGGAGGAGGGAAAAAGAAAAACAACAAAAACAGUGAAUAUGUCAGAUGAAAUUGUAAUCUGAUCACGGAUAUUCCAUGGACUGAAAAAAACAACGCUCACAAUGAAUACUUUGUUUGAUUACGCUUAUUUACCUGGCUCCACUCACAACCCCCCUUCCUUACAUGAUAAAUGCCUUCGUUGUGUGGUGCAGGUGGGGGUGGGCUGCCAGGUGGGAUGUCCUCGUUCAGGUCCUUCUCUGGGACAUCCCCCUGCACCUACGGGGAGCAGGGCAGGGCUGAGGAUGGGGAGAAGUGCCAUCCAGCCACCCAGAAGGUGUCUUUGAGGGCCAAGUGAGCUGGCGCGGGACAGGGAAUAGUACCGUGCUCCAACCCAGCUGCUGGCACAUCAUCUGGCCCGUCCUUUUGUCAUAGCUCCCUAGGCAAACAACAGCAGGCAGGGUUAAAAGGUGAUUUCCUGUGCUCGGCAGCAAACCCAUCAUUAGCAGCUGCUUCCCAGCUACCUGCCAGGGGUGAUUUAUAGGCUCAGAGCUGGGGGAGGCCCCGCUGGAGCCAGGAGGGUUUACCAAUUUGUGCUGUUUUGUCCCCAAAGCAGGGCUAUUCCGUGCUUGUCAGAUUUAGGACCGUCCCUGAAACACGCCUUGCGUGGGCAUCCACAUGUCAGCUCUCACUGGGUGAAGCAUGGAAAUGCUCCAUGUUAAAGCAGUGAAAAGCAGCCUGUAGAAAGAGCAAAGGAGAUCUUCUGGUUUUUUUACUACAAUCCUGCCAGUUGACACCUUGGGAAUGCUCCUGUAUUUCUCCACAAACCCAACACUAUGUUGAUUUUUAAACUGACGGUGCUUGUUACCAGGAGGAGGAAGUUGAUGCCUUUUAGGAUAUGUUGCAUUACUUCAGGGAAUCUGAACGAGCCAUGCACCCAACCCACUCAGCUCCUGCAUUCCUCCAAAAUGCUGAGGCUCUUCCCUCAGCCUCACCCAGGUGCUCAUCACCCAGCAUUUUGGCUUUCUUGGGCUGAAUCUCUCCUUUCACUGUAGUAAAGUUCUUUGAAGUUCUUGGCUUGCCAUUUAUCUGGGAAUCCUGCUAGAUGAUGGUGGAGCCUGAGAUCUGCAUAAGCCAGAAAUAACACACUGAAGAGUGUAGGGCAUAUAGACUGGAAGAAAUUAAUGUGCAGUGUUUUUGGGGGGUUGGUUUGUGUUUUAUUAUUUUUCCCCUUCUGUUUCAUUCUUUCUUUACACUCCUUUUAAACUUAUAUAUAUAUGAUAGUCCAUUUGGUCCUCCUUGCCCAGAAAACAUUUAUUGCAGCUCUCCUGUAAACGCUUUUCCCCGACCACAGCAAUAGAUUUUUAGGGUUUGAUUUUUUUCACUCUGUUUUAAAGAGAAAGCACAUUUGCUCUUUUUAUUUCCUAAGGUAGUUAUUAAAAUCUUUGCAGUCCUCCCCCUCUCCCACACACGGAUGAAUAAACUUGACUGCGUGCGGCAGAAUUUUCAGAAGCAUCUGCAUGAUUGAGUCAUUUAAGCAGUCAUUUACGCAUCUCUGAAAAUCCCGGCCGCUGCCUCCAGUCCUUGCUGCAAGGUCCUGCCUCUCCUUGAAGAUGUUGCAAUCUGUUCGACAGCUGCGGUCCAAGAUUGGAAAUGGCUCUGCAGAUGAGUGCUGCAGCCCGGGCGGCAGUACCCUUCUGCCCCUUCUUUAUGGUGCACACUCCCCAGCCAUCGUGUUGAAGCAUGGGUUGCGUCCUUAAAAACAGGGCUCUGCCAUUAGAUAACUCUGCUGUGCUUUAGACCCAUAGUGAUGAGAGAAAUCAAUACAACCCUCCGUUCCGAGAGUCCUACCUAAGGGAGCAGAAAGCUGAGGUAUAUGGAAGUGAAUGUCACUGACUUUGGGGAAAAAAACGCUGAUUUCUGAACUGAAAUCUCCAUUUAGAAGUUUAACAAUAUGUAGCUGUGUUUCUUUAAUUCCAGAUCCUCAGUAGGGCCCAUAAAUGUUUUCCAUAUGUUAGCAAAUAAAUUUCUCCUGUCUUGUACGUUAUAAAUCGUCCUCUCAAGAGAUGCAAUCUGAGUAAGACUGGCCAUCCGCUCUGUCCCUGCUGGGGGAAGCAUUGUCUUUGCUUGGGCUGAGAUUGUUCUGUUUGUCUUCAUCCAUCCAGCCUGCAUCUUCAGACUUCUUUAAUUAACGUUCACUUUGCAAAUACCAUUUAAUAAGGAUCAAAUAAUUCUGUAGUUCCUCGGCCACAGAAUUUGCCGUAUAAUUGAGUUCUUCUGCAGAUUUUUUCCUUAAUCUACACUUUUACUUUCAAUUACAGAUAAUAAUCCCACAUGACCGUGAAGUGAAAAAUGUGAAGCAAGUCCAAGGAAAGAAAGAUUUCCAGGAUCCUGGCUAAAAGCUUGCUUAACUCCUUCCUCCGAAAGCAGAACAGGGCAGAUGCUCUCUUCCUUCACUCAGGGGACAUGGACACACCUUGCUGCUACUAAGUCUACCCAUUGUUUUCUCUCUCCUGUGUGUAGCCAGCGUCCUGCUGCUAGGAUCCAUACCCACGAUCUCCAGACUCUGACUUCCCCCACGAAGCUGCGUAUUCAGGGCAGUCCCACACCCCUCACACCCCUUCCUCAACACAAAGAUGUUCCCCUGUUGCUCAGGGAUGCUGGAGCCAGGAAGCUUGUCCCACAGCUUGGAUGCUGCUGGCGUUCAUUGCUGGGACAGACGCGAUGCUGGCGGUACGGGUUGUGGCAGAUGUUAAUGUUACAGCCUUCCUCGCAUCUCUUCUGGUCUCAUAAUUAAAAAAACAGAUUUCUCCCCGCUGCCUUUCCAUGAAACCUUUUCCCUACUUUCAUCUCCCAUGUGGGCCUCAAGUGUGUUACAGCCUCACUAUUAAAAUUUAUAAGAUUUACGUUAGUUAGAUAAACACUAAAUCUAACUUUUCUUGCUGGCUUGGUUGUUUCAUAUUCAGAUGGUUCUUUUAAAGAACGACUGUAACUCAUUUUCUUUAAAGUACAUGCAUAGAGACCCAGCCCAGUUACUUUGGAUGGCUAUACUUGUGCAUUUUUGAGUUCUCUAUGAGGCUGGAGCAUCCCUUGUCCUGCCCUUCCACGGAUAAUGAUGUUGCUGAGCAUAGAGAAGCACUGAGUUGCAAGAUUUAUUCCUUUCGUGAGCUGCACUUGGGAUUGAGAAGAAGCAAGAGCCUGUGAUUUCCUUUUUCUCGAGUCUAAGAUACAGUAACAGAAAGGAAAAGCUGCUUUUGGAUGAGUGGAGCUCUGGAUAGUAGUGGUGGGGUGCAGUGCUUAGGUCGUCACUGCAAGCAAAGCAGCAGCGAUUGCUCCGUAAGACCAAGCAGAGCAACUGGGGACCCAUCACAACAAUAGUCAGGUGGCAUUACUUGUGGUAUUGUUGCUUAGCAGUGCCCAGAUGACAGAAGGGUUCAGUGCUCCUAGCCACGUCCUCUGGGCUUGGAGCUGGUGUUGUAAAGCACAGCUAUUAAUUGAGAUUAAAAAAUAUAAAGAAUCAUAGAAUUACGAAGGUUGGAGAAGACCACUAAGGUCAUCAAGUCCAACCAUCAAUGCAUUCCCACCAUGCCCACUAACCCAUGUCCUUCAGUGCCACGUCUGCCCUUUCCUUGAAAAGCUCCAGGGGUGGUGACUCCACCAUUUCCCAGAGCAGCUGUUCCAAUGAAGUACCACUCAUUCUGAGAAGAAAUCUUCCCUAAUAUCCAACCUCAGCCUCCCCUGGUGCAACUUAAAGCCAUUCUUUCUCAUCCUAUCGCUGUUAACCUGGGAGAAGGGACUGACCCCCCUCCUCACCACAUUUUUUCCCCCUCUUUUCCUCAAGUUGACUUUGUCUGGAUGAGUUUAUGUUGGUCACUGGGAGCGGUAACGGUCCAAUAGGUUUUCAGUAGGGAGAAUCAAGUGGAAAGUUUUCCUCUGGUUGGCAGGUCUUUAUAGCAGUGUGCUUCCCCCUUUCCUUCAGGUCCUCUCAUUUCUUUUAAUUGAUGCUGGAAAUGAACCCAUUUGUUUCUAAUUCCUAUACAAAUACAAGCAAGUUCUGCUUACUACAGCGAUCGGAUACAAUUGUCCCUGAGACAGAGAUGUCACCUGGAAGGGCAGCUGCUGUUUCCUUCAGUCAUUCAAAGCCACACAGGAGUGAUGACCUCACUAGUGCCUACCUCACGGAAGUUAUCAAGAUAUGCUAUACCUAAAAUCUGUUAAUUCUUACAUAUCUUGCAGGUUCACAGUAUGUAAAUGAAGAGCUUAGGUGAGCUGAUGGGAGAGAUAAGUAAUGGAUAGGUUUGAAGCCUUACCUGUAUCAGGCUAGUUGUUUUCCCCCACAGUCUACAGGUCCCUUGCAAGGUGACCUGUUGCUCCAGCAGUUCUGGCUGGAGGAAGCAGUCCCUGCAGUGAAUCACAGCCCGCUCACAGCCCCUGCAGUUUGGGGCGUGUGUGUGAAGACUGGCAAACAGCAUCUGUUGUUCAGCAACAAAUUAUUAAGCAGAUAAUAUCUGUGUCGCGCUCCCUUGAGCCUUGCUGUCCUGUAGUUCUCUGUGUAGCUAAUUAGAGUGGUGAUGUGGAUGUGUCAAACUGCUUUGCUGAGGGUAAGCAAUUCCUCUUGUCGCGAUCCCUUCUCUAAGUUCUGUUUUUAUAGUGUGUUUUCUGGCUCCGUCCCAUUCCCAUAUACAAACACAGUUGGUUCUGCAGUGGGAUUGGGAUAUGUCCUGCAGGAAACUGAAAUCUGAUCUUCUGCUACAAUGGAAGUUUCCCUAUAGCUGCAUCUUGCCAGAACUCGUGUUACAGUUUGUGCACCGGUCGGGGAUCCUUGUGUUCAGCUUGCUCCUUUUCCCUUGCUCGAGUGAUACGGAGGAGAUUUUUGCUUCUUUCCAUUUUUAGCACUCCUUUCUUCUUUUCCCCAUGCUUAAUGGUGAUGGGGUGGCAUAGUUAAGCGUGCCAGCUCUUUCAGUGUUAUCCUCACUUUAAUUCUUGUGUACAUAUCUUGCACAUAACCUGUCUUGCGUUCAUUUAAGUGAUCUCCCAGCUUCCAAAAGCCUGUUUCCUUGUAAUAUACGGUCCUUGGAGGCUUCUGGAUGGGAAGGGUAUCAGCGACCUGCCUGUAGGAUUGUCUGAAGGUGAAUGGAGCGGUGCACUGCCAGCUGUAGUUUGUAGCUAAUGAGUUCUUGCUCUGAGCCUGCUGCAGCACCACUUUGCACUUGCAUUCAGCUAGCUGAGUGUUUGUCUUCCAAAAAAAUAAUUUGGCUGCGUGGUGACAUACUGCAGCUAUGUGAUGAGUUAACGUGUGGAGCUGUUUAUGAGCACGUUCCCUUCUUAUUUUCCCAAGGGGUGAAGAAGUGUGCAGGCUGCUGUGCCAUCCAGAAUGGCAGCGAGUGUGUUGAGAUUUGACCUUUGGGAACAGGAACACACAAACAGCCCAACCUGCACCACAUCUUGGUUACGUGUUUCCCCUCGGUGCUGCGCAGUGGUCAGGGUGAAGCAGGCAUUUAAUGGGAAGAUUUUGCAGCACAACUUUACAAAAUGAGUCUAUGGCCUCUGAUUUUGGCCUUGCUUUUGUUCAGCUUUGAUUCCCCAGACGUUUCUUCAGCACUGUGUAGGGGAGUGUAGGUGAGGGACUCAGUUUGAAGCAAGAAGCCCAAAGGAAGCACGUUUGGUUCCCCAAAACUUGAGCAUCAUACCCAAAACUGCUGCCAAAGAAUGCGGCUCCAGUUGGCUGCUGCAAAGCUGGCAGAGCAAUGUGAGGCCCCUCCUGUUUGCCAGCACAGGGAAUUGACCCCAGAACUGUCCCUAUAAAAGAAAAUGAACCCUUUUCCAGUGGUUCAGCUCCUGCAGGGCCAGAGAAGCUGUUGGCUGGACCAGACCCCCAGCACCCUGCUCGUGUCCAUCCUGCACUGCCAAUGGACGUGUGAUGCCCUGCAAAGCAGCUGGUGGAAAACGGCCACACAACUCCCCCUGAAAAGCUGAUGGCACUUUGCUUCUCUGGGCACUUUCUGUACUGGUGUGGCUGAGUGGGGCUGAUGGGGAUCUCAGCAGCACUCGUUGAGGGAGGGGCUGUGAUUUCCACACACUGCGUUUUGAACGCAGGCAGAUCGGGUUGGAAUCCCAUUGUCUCAUGCAAUGGGGAUGGGCAAAAAAUAAAGAAAAGAGAAAAAAAUAAGUCAGUGCAGAGAGUUUGGGCCACUUGGAGCGUGCACCCAAGCUUUGCUAAAUCUAACCAUAAUUUGGGUUUGUCCUUUGAAUUUAUUUUAUUUUUUUCAUUUUCUUGGAGAGCUCACAAAGAGGAAGGAGGAGCUUGGGAAAGCUAAACAACAUGCAAUGUGCUCUUACAUGAGGCUCCAAGAAUGAUUGUUCCUUUAAAGCGACAGUCUGCCCCUUUAAAAGAAAUAAAAAUCUCAAAGAAAAUCCCCCAACUGACCAAAAUCCUGCAUCAUGAUGCUGCCCACACCCCCAGGCUUGUGCUGGUUUUAACUGAGAAUGCAAAAGCCCCGUGAGCUCAUUGUGGAGCUCUGCCCAGCGCAGAGAUGCAUUAUAAACAACUGCAGCUAAAUAGCUGUGUUCCCUGCCCUCACCUGCCUAAUGUGUUUUGCCAAGGGUCUGCUUUCCCUGCGCCUUGUAAAUAUUUUAUGAAAAUUAAAUCAGAAGUGAUUACAGCAGGCAGUUCAUCUGUCUCUGGUUCCGUCUGCAAGAAGAGAGGGAAGGCAGAAGUCAGUAAGUGCCACUGCAUUUUUAAGCAGAGCCCGACAUAUUUACAGUGCAUGUGAAGAGGGCGUUUUUUAAGUUUGCAUCAGCUGUUGGGUUCUAUUUUAGUGAUGGAUUCCAGCUAAAAUAACGUGGAUGCUCAGAACUGUGUGAAUAAAUGACCCCUAACUGACUUCUUAAAAUAUCAUAUCAGUCUGCUGUGGGAAGUCUGCAUUCAACUGUUUUUUCCUCUCUGUUUGCAUCCGAGUGUAUUAUACAGGAGCAGUGUGCCUAUGAACUUGGAGGCCGCAGCAUUUCAUCUGUACGUAGCAAAGGUGUGAAUGAUGGACUGGGGGCUCCGAUUCUUGCAGCUAAUCUUGUUUUUGUCAGCGUACCCCCAUUCCCUAGCCUUAUUUUCCCCCUGCCUGGGAGUUUCUGCAUGGAGGAGCUGGGACUCAGUGCUGAGUUAUGUGGAGCCAUCUGUUCCUGGCUGCCCCUGGAGCUGCACAGGCUCUCACCAUCCUCUGUGUGCGUUGCUCAACACCCGCCAGCCGAGCUUCGUUCCUUUAUUUCCUAGCAUCCGCAUCAGCCUUCUGAAGGAAAACCUUUCUGGCAGUGCUGAGUGUGAUAAGUUCCCUCUUAGCACUUGAAAACGGGGAGCCAGCGCUUCCCUAAUUAAUGGCAGCCAUGCUGAUAGCAAGCGUGUCAACAACUGAAAACUUAAGGGAGGAGCUGGGACCUGCACAGUAAUGUACCAAGGCAGUGAUCUGCUCUGUCCAGGUCCACAUCCUGCUGUGAGGCAGGGCUGCCUUGGUCUGAGCUUUCCUCUUGUCACAUUCUGCCUUUCCCUUCAGAGCACCCGAUGCAAAGACAUGACACGGUGCAUCAGCCCAGUGGUGGAGUAAGGGCAAGGUGAGAGAUUCCAAACAGUAAGGAGAUGUCCUGUGGAUGCUGUGUGGCUGAGGUCCUCCCUGAGCUCCUGCAGGUUCUUUCAAAUGCCUGCCUUCACAGAGCUGUGCCUGGUGCCUCGUAUCACUGGCAAGCAGCUAAAUGCAGAAAUCUCUCCGAGGUUUCCCCCGCAGCACAUCUGAUUGCUUGAUGUGUCGUUUCAGCUGUGUCUGAUUCUCACGUGUUCAUUUCAGGCCUUGCAGCGAGCCGCUCAGCCACAUCUGUGGAGCACGCCGAGCUGACCAGCGAUGCCAAGAGCGGCUUUAGCACGAGCUUAACAGAGAUGAUCUCGUGCACGGAGUCUUUGUAAAUGCUCCUCCAAGUCUUGCUGACUUAAGGCAGCACUGGGGUGUUUCUGGCACUGAGAGCCAUAACCACAAACGUUAAAAAGAAUAAUAAUAACAAAAAGAUAAAAAAUAAAGGUAGCAGGAAAGUGUCUGCCCUAAAUACGCAGGGCACGUCCAGAGAAUGGAAAACAUGAAAUCCUUUUCUAACUCUCUUGAAUAGAGAGAGUAGGCACUGAGACAGGAGCUGAGAGUUUCCAUCUUCCCCUCUAGAAGUGCUGUGUAUCUUUAGGCUUAAGAAUAAAAGCUAGAGGGGAGAGGAAAGAAUUGGUCCUGCAAGAUCAGGCUGAAGGAGUUCUAAGAGACCAUAUUUUAUCUUAAUUUCUUUGGAAAGGUGGAAGUUUCUUUGCUGUGCGUCCAAAAUAGCUCUCAGACUUCCUCUUUGCAAAGUUCAUAAACAGGGGAGGCCCUGCAGAUAAACCUCAGCUUCAAGCACAGGUCCGUAGCAUUGGCUUUCUUACCGCCCCACGGACUUUUAUCGUUUUUCCUUUCCUUAUUGAUAGUGCAGCUGUGUUUUCCCUUUUUCCAGUGAAUGAGGAGGGCUGUGCACACUUGUGCUGGGGCUCCCGAGCGAUUGUGCCUGGGCAGAGCAGGCAAACAGCAGGCUGAUUGCCUGUUUUCCAGGCUCAUCCUCAAGCUGUGAGUUGGUGACCGAGUGGGGCUUCUUUUCCUGGGCACGAUGUGAGACAGCAAGUGGCUCCCCUUCAGCAUGCACAGGCUUCUCACAAUGAAAGCAGGAGCUGCCAUGGGGAGGUUGUGCUGCUGAAGUGUCUGCCUUGGUGAAGAUGAGACCCACCACGUUCUGUGUUCCCACGCGGGCUGCAUUCAGAACCCCUCGGGUGGGGAUGAUUCAGCAAGCAGACCUGCUGCAGAGCAGCGUGUGCAGCAGAGAACAGGCUAGCUCAUAGACAGCUCACGCUUUAGAAAGGCCAAGCUGGCACAGGUUUUCAGUUCAGAGCCAUUACUUGCAAAACGACAUGUUCAACACUGUGAUGCUUCUGUUCCCCAUUGCCUUCUCCAUCUCGUGUAGCUGUAAAAAUCCUAGCGAAAGAACAAACCGUCUUGUUUGACCAGCAAUUAUUCUUGACAGCAAACUUGCUGUAGCUGGCUUAGAGCAUUUGUGGAAGCUGCAAGCAGCGGAGCUCCCAUAAAUUCCCUCAGGCAACUGAUUUCUGACGAGCUGCUCCAUAAUUUGGAGAUGGGCAGUUCUUUUUCCUGGUCGCCCUGGAUAUUGCGCUGUAUGAAGCGAAACUGUUCCGUGAAGCCCUUGGAGGCAAGGUGAUCCAUCCAGAUCAGUAGCUGGGCAGGGGGAAAGCUUUUUUUAUUUCUCAUCAGCUUUUAUGAUCGAUAGUAAUCUCAGAAUAUUACUUAGGCACCUGAUUAGCCGGCUGUUCUUGUGUAACAAAUCCAUUUAAAUGAGAAGUAAACUGCAGUAAAUUAUUAACAUAAUCUUCUGCACUAAUGACUAGGCUUUUUAAAUUGAAUGAGUCACUUAAAUUGUGAGAGGGAAACAGGGACCAGGGACACUUCUUCCUUUCAUUUUAAUGAUCACAGUACAACCAUUCGCAUGUAGAAAUGCAGUGUUUCCUCUCACAGCAGCCGUAUCACACAUGCAGUACGUGUGCUCGCUCAGAUACGCUCAGCUCGCUUGCAAAAGGAAAUGUGUAACGCGGGUUUUAUAAAAUCACUAUUAUGGCCAUGAUUAAUGAUUUUGUUAUCCGAGCAGCAAAACCACAAGUCUUUGCAGCCGCCAUAGCAGUCGCUGAGCUCCAGUACGUGCCGCCCAGAAUUCGCUAAUGGAGCAUCGAGGGCAUGUUGAAACGACGUUUCUUUGUGGACUCACUGUUCCAACUGCUUUAGGUUUGGGUUCAUUUCUCUUGUGUGACUACCGGGCAUGUUUUCAAUCGUUUUUUCUCUCUCUCUCAAAAAACAGUGGAGCCAGAUUGGUUUCAACGGGCUUUAGAGGAAGACAGUUUUUCUCUUAGAGACCAAUGGUUGGGACAUGUUUUUCUAUCAGUGAAAUAGCCUGACUCUGGAGACUGUGUGCUUUCUAGAUAUAUUGCUGUAAGCAAGUGUGAUAUAUUUGGGUGACCUGCAGUGAAGCUCUAAAAUCUUCCCCUCUGUCAUCUUCCCCAAAAUCUUCACUGCUGUGGUGGUAGCUGAAAAUCGUAGCCAACACAGUCUUGUUGUAUGGGACAGGAAUUGUUUUCUGCUUCCAUCAUGGGUGAAGUCCUUUCCCUUGAGGAUGAAUCUGACUUGUACCAGUCACCAAGUUCAGAUUCAGUUGCAGUUGAGUAGUAGAGGGAGUACCAGAGCUUUCAGGGCUUGAGCAUCAUACCUUUGAAUCUUGGUCACUGAACUUUCUUCUUGAACCACAUUGGAACUAUGGGAUUUAUCUCAAGUCCUUGCUUCUGUUUGAACCUUAUCUGAGCACGUUCCACUGAAUGUCUUAUGUUCUCUUCCAGAGGAUAUGAGAAGAAUAAUCACUUCCUACUCUCCUUCCACAUGGGACUCGUGAUUCUAUAGACUUCUUCCUUCCCAUCUUCACAUUUCCUUCCAUUAUCUCUUUGCCAGGGUGGAGAGAGCCAACCUCCCUAGUUAGCUAGUAUUCAGAAACCAUGUCUCUGAUUGUCCUGACUAUUGCCCUGGGAGCUUUGCCAUGAUGGAAAUACCCUUGUGAAGAUUUCAGUGCUGCUGCUUGUAUUUUUUUUUUUAUAUAUAAUCUGUUGAUGAGCCCUCUGUCAUGGAGCUGCUUGUUUUAACCCCAUGACCUCUUUUCUCAGCAGUGAUAGUUAUUUCAGAGUACAUCAUUGUACAUGGUAGAUGAAGGUGUCCCCGUCAGAUUGCAUAUUAGUGGUAAUUAGAGUUUGUUGUUAUUGUUUAACAUCUGGUCUUUCAGCAUUAUAAGAUUCUUAAGCAAGUUUUCAGGGUCGGCUUUCAUUUUUACUCCCCUGAAUAACUUCACUGUCAUGAGAAGGUUUUAUCAUCGUGCUGUUAACUCCAUCUUAUUUAUGAGUAAGCUCACCAGCACAGAUGGAGAUCUGGGGGCUUCAUCCAUGACCUCCUUCUCGUGGAUGCCCUAUCCCUGGAGGCAUUCAAGGCCAGGCUGGAUGUGGCUCUGGGCAGCCUGGUCUGGUGGUUGGUGACCCUGCACAUAGCAGGGGGAGUUGAAACUCGAUCAGUGUGGUCCUUUUCAACCCAGGUCAUUCUAUGAUUCUAAGUGUUGAGGGCCUUCUUUUUUCUUCUACCAAAGCUUGGUGAGGGGCCUUUUUGGAAGGUAGCAGUGCUGAUUUCAGCAGAGAGUCAGCAAGAUAACCCUGCAACCAGUUGCCUUCAGCCUUGUCAACCUGGAGGCAGCACAAACUUUGUUAUGGAAGAGUGAACAGAGAACUAGGCUUGGAUAUCUUACUUUCUACCUUUCUUGGUGCUCAGAGCAAGUGUUUGCAUUGGCACACUGCCCCUCUAAUCUGAGGACAUUGAAUGUGGAAAUGAAGCAAUUUUUAAUAUGGUUAAAGUGGAGGCCUGAGCCGCAGCCUCUUUGGUAUGCUGCAAACAGGUUUUGUAGCCAUGUUGACACAUGUGGGGGAGAGGCUCAGUUGCCCUGCUGGCUCUGAAGUAGAUGAAGGCGUGGAGCAAAGGGUAGAUAAAGAUCCAGCACGAUAAAAAUCGCUCCAGCCUUUCUUCCAAUUGCCUCUUGCAGAAAUAUGGCUUUCCUCAUGGAGCCGUGCAUGCAUUCAGCGAACAGCAUGCUUUGUGGGGGCUGGUUAUAGCCCCCAGCUGUCCCACUAAGAUUAUGCAGCAGUUAUAUCCAGUUCAGGACUUCUUUCCAUCUAGCAGAGCAAGAGGGUUGCAGGCCAAUGUAUGCCACCUACUCCAGUUGAGUGAGUUUCCCAGGCUUCUUUCCGUUCACCAUGAGCACCCACAGUGUAGUUGGGGCAUACCCACGGAGGUUUGUCCCAGCAGGGCUCGGCUGCAUUUCCACUGAAAGCGAAGGGUCCUGCUGGCACAGCACCAUGCUAAGUCCUUCUUCCUUUUUGGCUCAUGACAGUCAAAGUUUUACUUUGAGAGCGUGCUACAGGGCAAAACUGCCUGCAAUACAGGAAUACAGGGUAUUUGCCUUUCUGUUCUAAGAAGCUGAAAUUAAAGCUCUGCAUCCAGGUCUGCAUCACAUGCAGUGCUGUAGAAAAGUGCUUGUAGGAGGGGGCUGUUGUAACUAAAUCCUAACUCUUCAAAGGUUUUCAAAAUAGCCUGGGAGCUUGAUAUUAUUUUGAAGAACUUGCUUGUAGAAGCUGCUAGUUUUGUCUUGAAGGGUCCCCAGAAAGUGCUAGAUGUAGGACUUGAAGUUACAGGCACAAAUCUUAGCUUAAACCCCAGGUGUGAAGUGCCUACAUCUAGUAAGAGAUGAUGACUAGGGUGAUGAAACCACUAAAAAAGAACCUGAACACCAGUGCAGUUGCACUUUAUAGGUGUUAGUAUAACUUAGAGCUUGUUGUAAUUCUGAAUACAUGAUUUUAAAAUAACUGGGGAAAAUCGCAACAAUCUCACAUGAAUUAGAAGUCAGUUCACAAAGGGUGGGUCAGCCAUUCAGAACUCAUCCUGCUUGUUCUACUUCUCAGAUAACGCAGUCUGACUUCACAUCACACUGCAAACAGAGCUGUGUAUUUGCUUUCAACAAAAUAAGGUGGCAGCUUAGUGCUAUACGAGUCCAAGUGGGUCGACAGAUAUUUUGUGUUGUAAUGCUUUAAGGUGUGUUCACCUUUCGGCAGCGUCUUGCAAAGCGUUGUUUUGAGAAUAAACAAAUAGCCACAGUGGCUGUUCUUGUCCUCUUGGAAUAAGAGACGUGUUUAGAAACUACGAUUCAUUGAAAAAUAAUAUUUAGAGAGUGCAUUCUUGACCAAGAGAGAAGGUUUUUCAGGUAGAACCAGUCUUCUGCCAUUGUUGAUAUAACCACCUUCCCCUGUUGAGUUUGUGUCUCCACCUAAUGUUGUGGCUCAUGGAAACCUCUCCACUGGGCUUACCUUAGCUGCAGCAUGGGUUGCUAGCUGAAGAGGGUUAAAGAUCUUUCCCUGUUUGUGGCACCAGUACUUUUGGAACACGUAAUGUUACGGCUUUUCUUUCAGUUGUACCCAUGGGCAAAAGGAGCCGUCAAGGGGGUGUUCAUGUAACAGCUGUCCUUUGAUAUUUGUGGUAAUGUGAAAAAGUCUAAACAAUCAACGAAAGGAAUUAAUGGGCCCGAACGUCUGGAUAUUAGAGGGAAAAUACAAAGGUUGCGUCCAAAAGUAAUGCCUCCUGUUUUGAU